rnacentral:tRNA from 1 species
AAAGUAGUAGGUUAUUUAGACCGACGCUUUUCAAGAGCGCUAGAAAGACUUUAUGCUUAAGCUUC